rnacentral:rRNA from 1 species
GACGAACGCUGGCGGCGUGCCUAAUACAUGCAAGUAGGACGCAGUUGCGAACGUGUGAUUAACGCGUAGGUCACUACCUAUUGGAGGGGGAUAACUAUUGGAAACGAUAGCUAAUACCGCAUACUAGUAGAUGUACCUGCGUUGUAUUAGCUAGGAGGUAGGGUAAUGGGCUACCUAGGCAAAGAUACAGUGCCGACCUGGGAGGGUGAUCGGCCACACUUGGACUGAGACACGGGCCAGAAUCCUACGGGAGGCAGCAGGAGGGAAACGUCGGCAAUGGGGGGAAACCUGACCGAGCAACGCCGCGUGAGUGAAGAAGGUUUUCGGAUCGUAAAGCUAUGUUGUGAAGGAAGCGGUACUUAACCAGAAAGGGACGGCUAACUACGUGCCAGCAGCCGCGGUAAUUC